UGGCAAGGAGGGCUGAGUGCAUGCCAUGGAAGGAUCCAAUCCCGGACCCCACGUGGUUUUAGUCAUCGUGUUUCCUGAGUCUCCUCUGUGCUGGCAGUUCCUCAGUCCCUCCUUGUCUUUGAUGACACUUGAAGAAUUCUGAUCAGAUUGAAAAGCAGAGCCAUGGGCAGCAGCAGAACUGCAGGGAGACAAGGAUUCCAGGUGCUUGUGGGGUGGAGGGAGGCAGCCUGGGAACAGAUUCGGCUCCAAAAGGCCA